UACGAGGGGGGCGAGCGUUGUUCGGAAUUAUUGGGCGUAAAGGGUGCGUAGGCGGUUUGAUAAGUCUUGUGUGAAAUCUCUGGGCUCAACCCAGAGUCUGCAUAGGAAACUGUCGGGCUUGAGUAUGGGAGAGGUGAGUGGAAUUCCUGGUGUAGCGGUGGAAUGCGCAGAUAUCAGGAGGAACACCAAUAGCGAAGGCAGCUCGCUGGGACGUUACUGACACUGAGGCGCGAAAGCGUGGGGAGCGAACAGG
rnacentral:rRNA from 1 species